UUAUUUUUUACAGUUUUCUUUAUGCUUUAUGAUGGUUUCCUUAGGCUAGUCCAUAAUUUAUUCCUUAGGUUAUUCCAUAGGUUAUUCCUCAGUUAUUCCUUAGGUUAUUCCUCAGUUAUUCCUCAAUCAUUCCUUAGGUUAUUCCUUAGGUUUUUCCUUAGGUUAUUCCUUAGGUUAUUCCUCAAUCAUUCCUUAGGUUAUUCCUUAGGUUAUUCCUUAGGUUUUUCCUUAGGUUAUUCCUUAGGUUAUUCCUUAGGUUAUUCCUCAGUUAUUCCUCAAUCAUUCCUUAGGUUAUUCCAUAGGUUAUUCCAUAGGUUAUUCCUCAGUCGUUCCUUAGGUUAUUCCAUAGGUUAUUCCAUAGGUUAUUCCUCAGUUAUUCCUCGGUGGGUUGGAGAAGGCAGAGCUGAGGGGCUGGUGCUGGAAUCAGGCAGGAAUGGGAUGAGCAGGAUGAUGGAGAGGGAUGCAGGAUGUUACUUCGGGAUCUCCAUGAAACAAUUCCAAGGGAAUUUUCUCCGGAGUGAAAUCCUGGGAAGGGAGGCAGCUGCCCUACAUGGGACUCUGGCAAUGGCAAUUCUCCAAAGGGAGAGGGAAUGAAUUUUAAUGGAAUCUUGAAAGAC